GGAUAUAAGUAGCUUUUUUAACUUUAAAUAUUUAAAAAUGGCUUCUUCAAACCAGAUUUCAAUUGAAACAAGUGAAAAUAAUAUAGCAAGCUAAAGUUUUAACAAAUGUGAACAUGAAGUUUUUAUAAACAUAUUGUGCGAAUUGCCAAUACUUCUACAAAAAAGCCAAGUUCCAAACGUUAAAAUAAAGAAAAACAAGACCAAAUGAUCCAAGCAACAGGAACAAAAAUUGAUGCAAAAACAUUGGCGAAAAAGAUUGCCAACAAGGCAAUCUUUUUCGCCAAUGUUUAAAAAAAGAGUCUGACAAGGUUAAAAAAAAAGUCUGACAUCCAUCGAAUUGGAAACAAGCCUAUAAAACUUUCAGCGAGUGAAGUCAAACUUGCAAAUCUUUUAGAUACAGAAAAGAAUCCUACUUUCAUGCAAAUUGAUGGGGCAAUAUCAGCAGGCAUAGUUUAAACUCCCAGUGCUGAAAUGAAUUCUGUAUUCAGCUCAUUAAAAAGUCAAACUAUAUUUUCAUUGCCACCAUCAGUUGAAUUUCUUGGUAAUGUUAAAAGUAGUUGCAGGAACACAUCUUCUGAAGCAUCUAGGUCAAUUCCAAAAAGAUUAAAACUACCUGGUGAAACUAAAGAAACAACAAAAUGGACGAAUACAGAGCUUCAGCAUGUGGUCAUGCUGGAGCAGCUAAAAUAUUAUCGGUUCAAAAAUUUAAAGUUGAAAUAUACUACACCCCAACAUGUAUUAAAUGAAGAGGAGAUAUUGUUGUUAAUAAAAACGUUGAUGGAAAUAAAACAUAAAAACGUGAAAAUAAAUUUUGGUUACUGUUAAAUGUACA